rnacentral:ncRNA from 1 species
GAACAAGGGGAAUCCAACUGUUUAAUUAAAACAAAGCAUUCCGAUGGUCAUUGCAUAUGCUGACGCAAUGUGAUUCAUGCCCAUUGCUCUGCAUGUCAAAGUGAAGAAAUUCAAACCAAGCACAGGUAAAUGACGAGAUUAACUAUGACUCUCUUAAGGUAGCCAGAUGCCUCGUUAUCUAAUUAGUGACAUGCAUGAAUGGAUUAACGAGAUUCCC